CUUAACUGUGAGCGUGCGGGCGAUACGGGCAGACUUGAGUACUGCAGGGGAGACUGGAAUUCCUGGUGUAGCGGUGGAAUGCGCAGAUAUCAGGAGGAACACCGGUGGCGAAGGCGGGUCUCUGGGCAGUAACUGACGCUGAGGAGCGAAAGCGUGGGGAGCGAACAGGAUUAGAUACCCUGGUAGUCCACGCCGUAAACGGUGGGUACUAGGUGUGGGUUUCCUUCCUUGGGAUCCGUGCCGUAGCUAACGCAUUAAGUACCCCGCCUGGGGAGUACGGCCGCAAGGCUAAAACUCAAAGAAAUUGACGGGGGCCCGCACAAGCGGCGGAGCAUGUGGAUUAAUUCGAUGCAACGCGAAGAACCUUACCUGGGUUUGACAUGCACAGGACGCCGGCAGAGAUGUCGGUUCCCUUGUGGCCUGUGUGCAGGUGGUGCAUGGCUGUCGUCAGCUCGUGUCGUGAGAUGUUGGGUUAAGUCCCGCAACGAGCGCAACCCUUGUCUCAUGUUGCCAGCGGGUAAUGCCGGGGACUCGUGAGAGACUGCCGGGGUCAACUCGGAGGAAGGUGGGGAUGACGUCAAGUCAUCAUGCCCCUUAUGUCCAGGGCUUCACACAUGCUACAAUGGCCGGUACAAAGGGCUGCGAUGCCGCGAGGUUAAGCGAAUCCUUUUAAAGCCGGUCUCAGUUCGGAUCGGGGUCUGCAACUCGACCCCGUGAAGUCGGAG
rnacentral:rRNA from 1 species